rnacentral:lncRNA from 1 species
UAAAGCAACUUUAAAAUUGAAAACAUAAAACAGACUCGUGCUGUUUUUCCUCCGCUCCACUAGGCGGUAGACGCGCGUUCACGGUCACUCAGACGGACAACCUGCAGCUCCUGAACAACAGAAGAGGAAUACAGACGACGCCCACUUCAUAUCAUAUUUGUUAAUCUCUGAUUCAGCGUUAUAUCAGAGUCUUCGCCCUCAACUUCCUGGCCUUCUGCUUUUUUAUGCAGACUGAAGCAGAGGUCUGGACAUGUGGACGGACGUUUGCUGCGGACAGGCGGCAGAAGCGCGUUCACUUUCCCUCAGACCGACAACCUGCAGCUCCUGAACAACAGAAGAGGAGCACAGACGACGCCCACUUCAUAUACACAUUUGAGAUUCUCUGAUUCAGCGUUAUAUCAGAUUCUUCGCCCUCGACUUCCUGGCCUUCUGGUUUUUUAGACACACCGGUAAGUUAAUCAUUCACCACGAGUAUUUUUACACCUUUAUCUAGAAAAUAUACAGUAUUGGUUGGGAAAAGUUAAACAUUUAGAUUUGUUUUUGAAAGAAGUCUCUUCUGCUCACCAUGGCUGCAUUUAUUUAAUCAUUUAUUUUAUAAGUAAUAUUAUAAAAUAUUGUUUCGAUUUAAAAUAACAGUUUAUUCUAAAAUAAUGGUUAACCGUAAUAUUAAAUGCAAUUUAUUCAUGUCAUUCAAUUUGUGAUUUUUCGAGAAAGGUCUGACUCUUAGACGUGCAUGCU